CUAAGGGUGGCCUAAAAUCCAUACAAACGUACAUAACGGCUAUUUUUAGGUCAAACUACUAACCAGAUUUUAACAUUGGAGAACAUUAGGAAGCGUUUGAACCCGUUUCUAGAUGUGGGCCAGGUGGAAGGGGCGUUUGUAAUGGGCAUUGGCUACUGGCUUCUUGAAUUCACUCCGCCGUGUUCAAUCCCCCUAAUUUGAUAUUUGCUAUCGAGAGAAUGACAGCGCUUAUUGUUCUGGAGUCUAUUUAUGACACGACCUCUGGGCAAUACCUCACAAACAAUACUUGGGACUACAAACCUCCCUCGUCUUAGGACAUCACAGUGGACUUCCGUAUCACCUUACUGAAGGACGCCCCAAACCGCCUGGGGAUCCUACGCUCCAAGGCAUGCCGGGAACUCCCACUCUGCAUGAGCUGUUCUGUCCUGUUUGCACUCCCAACAAGCCAUUGAGGCAGCCCAUGCUGCGAAGGGCCAUGAUGCAUACUUCCCUCUGCACGUUAAGCCGCAAAAUGCACGUGGCUAGCAAAGCUGACGUUGAUGUGUGUGGAAUAGCCUCUGGCAGAACUUGUGACCAUAGCUCUGAAGUGCAGCAGUUAUUGACAGACAUGAUGUUGAAGACUUCAACACUGCCAAUCUGGCCCGGGAGGAAAUGAUGAACAGCCUGCCAGCCAGCCCGCCCAGCUGCCCUUGUACUUGGUGUACGCCAAUAUGCCAACAUGCGGUAAUUUGUUAGUACUUCAAGAUCAUAUUAUGGAAAUUGUAUCCAAACUGAAGCAUAAUAUGACCAGUCUGGUUGGUGAAGCCACAGAGGUAUUUUCAAGGACAUGAUCCAGUGCUGGUCAAAACGUGGUCUUGUAUGGAAAUCCUUUCCAUCUCUUGGCAAGGAUUUCCGAGAAAGGAAUUCCCUCUCCAACAAAGCAAGCGUUUCACCAACAAGGAAAAGGAUCAUAAGAACUACAGGAAACAGAUACGCACAUUUGAGCCACGAAUGCAUCAACUGGAAAAGCAGAUGAAUGAACGUGAGGAAACAAUCCGUGUUCUCAAAGACAGAACAAACCGAGUUGAAGACAAAAUCUUUGAGCACUUCUGUGUCCAGAUCGGUGUGGAAAUUUUCAGGCACCAAAGUCAAUAACGCCAUGAAGGGUAUCAGCAUAGCCAGGACCUCAGCAUCAACCAAGCAAAUGGAUCAUCACAUAUCCAUCAGAAAGGCAGAUAUUACAAGCUUCAUCAAUCCAUAGCAGUUAGCACAGAUACCAUUUUAUAAGGCCUUGUGAGAAAAGUCUAUUCAAAGAUAUGCUACAUGUACUUCUGCUGUACAAGAAUUUAUAGCUGUGUGUACAGCUGUUCGUGAAUAUACCUCUCAAAGCUUAAUCCAAAGUGUUUCAAUCAGACGCCAAGUGAUUCAUACCAGGAUGUUGAUGAGGAUUUAAAUAAAACAUGUACCUAUAGGAAAAAGCAAGACAACAAAUAGCAUAUAAGAACUGUCCACUAUUGCCAGGCCAACCACUGCCUUAGGACUUCUGGGUCUGCCGUCAUCAGCCAGACUGAAGGGAGACAUACUGUGGGGAUUAUCAAAACAAGAAGUCAGUGAAAAUGUCAGUGAAAAUGUAUGCACGUUGCAGAAAAAAGGAAUGUCUCAACCAUCAACAAUUGUAUUCCAAUUGACAGAUAAACUCACAGCAACCUGGAUAAAAAAGACCUCGGAUACAAAAUCUCACAGAGGCUUAUGGACAGCAUCAUUCACGUAUCACCUCUCAAAUGAAGUAUGUAUAUAUGCAAAAUACAAAAUUAUGUUUAGAUUGUUUUUAAAGUUAAGUUACAGUAACAGGAUAUUGUUUAAGAAUAAUCUUUUGUUUAACUUUUGUAUAUCAUCAGUUUACUAUACGAAGGUGUAGUACCUAGCACUGCAUCCUAAUGAUUGAUUGGAUCUGGUAGAUUUGGCGUAGGCAGAUCUUCUUCAACUAAAAUUGGUGCUGGUGCUAUUGGGAUGAUGGUUCUAGACAAUGAUAGCACACAUUGAAUGUUCAUACUAACUUGAUGACGCAUUAGUUGUAUUAUCUGUUCUCUUGUUUGUUGAUUAUCAAAUUGUCCUCCAACAAUGUGUACGCGUAUGUGCAAAUUCACAAGAGAAGGAUCCAUUGUUUAUAUAAAUAUCAACACAAACAUAAGACCAUGCAGGGGUGUUCCAGCCUGAAGCUUAAAUUGCCAGAAAUCGUCAAAAAUGUGACAAAAAAAUACAUGUAGAUGAUCAUGUACUGUAUGGCCGAGUUCUUUUUUGUCCGAAAUGUUUUAGUCCGAAUUAGCGCAAUUUGUUGAAAAUCUUCCCAUGGUUAAAGUUCUGACAAAUGUGUUUACAGGUCUUUAUUAAAUUAUUCAUUUGUGUUUAAAUCUAUAUUAAACUGUGCACAUUUGUCUACGCUCGAGAUGCUAUUUAUCCGAUGUAAAGUUGGAAAAGUU